ensembl:snRNA U6 U6 spliceosomal RNA
UGGAGUGCUGAGUUUAGCUACAAUAUACUAAUACUGGAACAGAGAUUAGCAUGGUACCUGGGCAAGAAUGACACACAAAUUUGUAAAUAAUUCUGUAUUUUA